rnacentral:rRNA from 1 species
CUCAGUAACGCGUGGAUAACCUACCCUUGGGACCGGAAUAACCCCGGGAAACUGGGGAUAAUACCGGAUAAGCCAUAGACGCUGGAAUGCCCUAUGGUUCAAAGCUCCGGCGCCUAAGGAUGGAUCUGCGGUCUAUCAGGUUGUAGUGGGUGUAACGUACCUACUAGCCGACGACGGAUACGGGUUGUGAGAGCAAGAGCCCGGAGAUGGAUUCUGAGACACGAAUCCAGGCCCUACGGGGUGCAGCAGGCGCGAACACUUUACAAUGCGGGAAACCGCGAUAAGGGAACCCCGAGUGCCAGCAUCAAAUGUUGGCUGUCCAGAUGAUUAAAAAUCAUUUGUUAGCAAGGGCCGGGCAAGACCGGUGCCAGCCGCCGCGGUAACACCGGCGGCCCGAGUGGUAGCCGUUUUUAUUGGGUCUAAAGGGUCCGUAGCCGGCUUGAUAAGUCCUUUGGGAAAUCUGGCAGCUUAACUGUCAGGCUUCUAAGGGAUACUGUCAGGCUUGGGACCGGAAGAGGUAAGGGGUACUCCAGGGGUAGGAGUGAAAUCUUGUAAUCCCUGGGGGACCAUCUGUGGCGAAGGCGCCUUACCAGAACGGGUCCGACGGUGAGGGACGAAAGCUAGGGGAGCAAACCGGAUUAGAUACCCGGGUAGUCCUAGCUGUAAACGAUGCUCGCUAGGUGUCAGACACGGUGCGACCGUGUUUGGUGCCGCAGGGAAGCCGUUAAGCGAGCCACCUGGGAAGUACGGUCGCAAGGCUGAAACUAAAG